rnacentral:rRNA from 1 species
UGCAGUCGAGCGGAUGACGGGAGCUUGCUCCUGGAUUCAGCGGCGGACGGGUGAGUAAUGCCUAGGAAUCUGCCUGGUAGUGGGGGACAACGUUUCGAAAGGAACGCUAAUACCGCAUACGUCCUACGGGAGAAAGCAGGGGACCUUCGGGCCUUGCGCUAUCAGAUGAGCCUAGGUCGGAUUAGCUUGUUGGUGAGGUAAUGGCUCACCAAGGCGACGAUCCGUAACUGGUCUGAGAGGAUGAUCAGUCACACUGGAACUGAGACACGGUCCAGACUCCUACGGGAGGCAGCAGUGGGGAAUAUUGGACAAUGGGCGAAAGCCUGAUCCAGCCAUGCCGCGUGUGUGAAGAAGGUCUUCGGAUUGUAAAGCACUUUAAGUUGGGAGGAAGGGUUGUAGAUUAAUACUCUGCAAUUUUGACGUUACCGACAGAAUAAGCACCGGCUAACUCUGUGCCAGCAGCCGCGGUAAUACAGAGGGUGCAAGCGUUAAUCGGAAUUACUGGGC